AGCAGAAUCUCUGGCAAACAAACGGUAGCAUAAGGAAUUUACAUCAACUUAUUUAAGUGAGGUGGCACCACUAAUGAAUAUUACAUACAAAGAGUUGUGGUUUGUGAAUAUACAUCUUCACAAGGAAUUAUUGUUAAUCUCAAGAAAAUGGAACAGCUACAUUAAACGACUACGUUUCGCAUGUAUAGUAGCAACUUCCAAGUCUCCAACGAAGAAGAGAAUUUUGUCUAAGA
rnacentral:lncRNA from 1 species